AUGCAAGUCGAGGGGCAGCGUAGAUUGCUUGCAAUCUGACGGCGACCGGCGAACGGGUGCGUAACGCGUAUAGAAUCUGCCUUGUACAGGAGGAUAGCCUUUAGAAAUGAAGAUUAAUACUCCAUAAUGCUAAGAGAUGGCAUCAUUUUUUAGUUAAAGAUUUAUCGGUACAAGAUGACUAUGCGUCCUAUUAGCUAGAUGGUAAGGUAACGGCUUACCAUGGCAACGAUAGGUAGGGGGUCUGAGAGGAUUAUCCCCCACACUGGUACUGAGACACGGACCAGACUCCUACGGGAGGCAGCAGUGAGGAAUAUUGGUCAAUGGGCGCAAGCCUGAACCAGCCAUGCCGCGUGCAGGAUGACUGCCCUAUGGGUUGUAAACUGCUUUUAUACAGGAAGAAACAGUCCCUCGUGAGGGGCCUUGACGGUACUGUAAGAAUAAGCACCGGCUAACUCCGUGCCAGCAGCCGCGGUAAUACGGAGGGUGCAAGCGUUAUCCGGAAUCAUUGGGUUUAAAGGGUCCGCAGGCGGUCAAUUAAGUCAGAGGUGAAAUCCUACAGCUUAACUGUAGAACUGCCUUUGAUACUGGUUGACUUGAGUUAUACGGAAGUAGGUAGAAUGUGUAGUGUAGCGGUGAAAUGCAUAGAUAUUACACAGAAUACCGAUUGCGAAGGCAGCCUACUACGUAUAUACUGACGCUCAUGGACGAAAGCGUGGGGAGCGAACAGGAUUAGAUACCCUGGUAGUCCACGCCGUAAACGAUGGACACUAGUUGUUGGGCGUAAGUUCAGUGACUAAGCGAAAGUGGAUAAGUGUCCCACCUGGGGAGUACGAUCGCAAGAUUGAAACUCAAAGGAAUUGACGGGGGCCCGCACAAGCGGUGGAGCAUGGUGGUUUAAUUCGAUGAUACGCGAG
rnacentral:rRNA from 1 species